rnacentral:rRNA from 1 species
UACGUAGGGGGCUAGCGUUGUCCGGAUUUAUUGGGCGUAAAGAGCGUGUAGGCGGCCAGGUAGGUCUGGUGUGAAAACUCGAGGCUUAACCUCGAGAUGUCAUCGGAAACCAUCUGGCUAGAGUCCGGAAGAGGAGAGUGGAAUUCCUGGUGUAGCGGUGAAAUGCGCAGAUAUCAGGAAGAACACCAAUGGCGAAGGCAGCUCGCUGGGACGUGACUGACGCUGAGACGCGAAAGCGUGGGGAGCAAACAGG